AUAAUCUUCAUCUACAGAAAGGUUCUAGAAUGCUCUUUCCCCCCCCCCAAAAAAAAACCUUGGGUACUGGAUAUUGAUGGUUAUUAUUACUUGGGUACCACACAGGUAACCUCUACAGCAGGUAGUUCAACAGAAGAUAUCUUUACUGUGAGAAAUGAUAUAUUUUUCAAAGUCAUCCACUCAUAUCUUUGUAAACAGUUCCUGGAUCUAACCUUAUUCAUGUGUCUCUCAGUUCUGAUGUAUAGAUGGGACAUGUCUUUCUGCCUGUUAGAAGACUUAUCGAGUGUAAUCCUUCCAGGACAUGUUGUGUCUCAGGUUGGCACAGAACCCUUAUUUUAGACUAUGGAAUCUUUUCCUGUACUAUAAAAGAAUAUAUGUUUGAGAAUGUAUAG
rnacentral:lncRNA from 1 species